CUAACGAGGAUUUCCUUAGUAACGGCGAGUGAAAAGGAAAAAGCCCAACGCUGAAUCCAAUAGAYAUUUGGCUAUAUGGAAAUGUAGCGUAUAGGUAUAACUAUCCGUAACAUAUUUUUGCACCCAAAGUCCCCUUGAGCGGGGCUACAGUCCAUAGAAGGUGCUAGACCUGUACGGGUGAAAAAAGUUACGGUAGGUUAUUCCUUGGAGUCGGGUUGUUUGAGAUUGCAGCCCAAAGAGGGUGGUAAACCUCAUCUAAGGCUAAAUACGACCACGAGACCGAUAGUAAACAAGUACCGUGAGGGAAAGUUGCAAAGAACUUUGAAGAGAGAGUUCAAGAGGGCGUGAAACCGCUGAGAUGGAAACGGAUAGAGUUAACGAAACUUAUCGGUAUUCAACCGAUCAAUUUAGCAAUCUUAAUUGAUUUAUUAUUUAUUAAUAAUUAUUUAUUAAUAAAUAAAAUGAUAUUUAAGAUAUGAAUGCUAAAUUUAUAUAAUGAUUGGUGUAUUUACCGAUGGUAUGCAUCGAGAACUUCGUUUUAGCAUAUUAAUACAAUUUAUUUAGUGGACCAAUUAUUCCAAUUGAUAAUUGGAACCCUAAAUAUGUUGAAAUAUGUCUUCAAUGAAGUUUUAAUCCCAUUUUGUGUAACUUUCACUUGAAAUAAUAGUGACAUGCAUCGAUUAUAAUUUUGCUAAUUACAUUUAUAUGUGGUCGCAUGCGACUUAUCGAUAAAUGUUGAUUGUAAAAAUUGGUAAAAUUAUAAUAUUGUAUGCAUAAUUUUAUGAGUUACAUCUCGAUGUGAACGUUAAUCACCUAUCUGACCCGUCUUGAAACACGGACCAAGGAGU
rnacentral:rRNA from 1 species